rnacentral:snRNA from 1 species
GUGCUCGCUUCAGCAACACAUAUACUAAAACUGGACCCACACAGAGAAGAUGAACAUGGCCCCUGUGCAAGGAUGACACACAAAUGUGUGUCCUUAUUUGA